ACACCAGUGCCACAGUUGUCGC
rnacentral:miRNA from 1 species